rnacentral:pre_miRNA from 1 species
GAGCUACUCCCUCCGUUUUAAAUUACUUGUCGCAGGUAUGGAUGUAUCUAGAUGCAUUUUAGUUCUAGAUACAUCCAUUUCUGCAACGAGUAAUUUGAAACGGAGGGAGUACAUU